UACGAAUUUAAUUGUUAUUUAAUGGUAUAAAUAAAUUCCCUUUCGCACAUAUGCAACGCGAAAAGAAGUGAAAAUGAAUCAAAUAUAUAUCUAGCUUCUAUCACAUACAAACACAAAGUGGUGUGGCUAGACAAAAAAUAUCAAGAAAAUUAGAAGAAUGAUUUUUAUCUCUACAUAAAAUGAAAUUUUUGUUAUUAUAAUUUUAAAGUAAAACAAAUUUAUUUAAAAAAUGUUGCGUUGAAAUAGUGUAAUGCAGAAAAAUCGCAGAUGUUAAUUAAUUGAAUGGAUAAAUUCCAAACGCAACAAAUUGGAGGACAUACUAGAAUGCAAACAUUAUAUUGAUUUGGGCGCUGAGGAUGGAAGAUAACACACAAUGAUCUAGACUUUAUGGUAUUGCACACAAAAUACUUAGAUUGGAAUUUAUUACAAUUCAUUUAUAUAAAUUGUAUUGUUUAUAAUACUCUUUACGAAGAGCGGCUCAAAUUGGAAUCAACAAUUUUUCUUCGUUUUAGAAGCCUGGGACCAUUAAGAAAAAAUAUAAAAAAUUUUAAUCAAUAUA